rnacentral:lncRNA from 1 species
UGCUUUGUUUACCCAGAGAGGACCUCCUGUUCUGCCCCUUGGCAUGUUUACUUUCCUGGUUGCCUACUUGGAAAGCCCUAUGACUGCUGGCAGGGAGAGCUCUGGUCACUUUCACUACCUUCUCAGAUUUUCAGCUCUUGGGGCUUCAGUAGGACCUGCCUUUCAGUAACUUUCAGAGGCAUGGGGAGCCCUUCCCUGAAAGAGAGGAGAAGGUGACAUCUUAGAAACUGUGAUAAAAUGAUCUCAGGACCCAAAAAGAAAAUGGACAAGCCUGGCAAUGAGAGUUUGCAAUGUGAUGCAAUCACGGGCAAUACCAGGGUGGAAAUUGGAUGGGCAGCUUUCUUCUCUCUAGAAGAUUUUCUUUCCAAGUCCAUUCUUUCUUUUCAUAUUUUCAUGAUAUUUACAGCAGCUUUGUUCGUAAUUGUCAAAACUUGGAAGCAACCAUGAUGCCGAUAUCCUUCAGCAAGUGAACAAAUAAAUUAACUGUGGUACGUCCUGACAAUGGAAUAUUAUUCAGCACUAAAAAGAAAUGUGCUAUCAAGCCAUGAAAAGCCAUGGAGGAAACUUAAAUGCAUAUUACUAAGUGAUAGAAGCCAAUCUGAAGAGGUUACAUACUCUGUAUUCCAAGUAUAUGACAUCUGGAAAUGACAAAACUAUGGACACCAUAAAAAGAUCAGUGGUUACCAGGGGUUGGGGAUUGGGGGAUGGAUACCUGGAGCACAGAGGAUUUUUAAGGCAGUGAAACUAGUCUAUAUGACACUAUAAAAAUGGAUACGUGUCAUUAUACAUUUGUCAAAGCUCAUAGGAUGUACAACAGCAAUAGCAAACUCUAAUGUAAACUGUGGACUUUGAGUGAUUAUGAUGUGUCAACAUAGGUUCAUCGGCUGUUAACAAAUGGACCCCUCUGAUGGAGCUAUAAAUAUGUGACAACUUGAAUUCUGCUUAAUGGACUUCCUUUCUUUCUUAUUUCCUUUCUUUCUUUCUUUCUUUUUUUCUUUUUUUUUUUUUUGGUUUGUUUCUUGCAUCUUAUGUUAUCUCUAUGGUAAGUUUAGCUAAAUGAAAAAUUCCCAGGAUUGUAAACUGAUUGAUUAGAAAUUAUUUGAUUUUUCUUUAUUUCAUUUUAUGUUACUUUUUAAGACCCAGUCAAGGAACAUUUCCAUAUGAUGUGCGUGUAUCCAUAGAAUUAUAUCAUGGCUGCAUAUGCAGUUUUAGCCUAUGCUAUAAAAUGCCUGCUUUUUAAAAAAAGACGUUAUUUUCUUAGAACAGUUUUAGGUUCACAGCAAAACUGAAAGGAAGUUACAGAGAUGUCCCAUAUACCCCUUGCCCCCGCCACACAUUUGAAACAUCUUUUCAAAUCUUUUCCUCAUUUAUUAAAUAGCUUGUUUUUCUCAUUAUUGAGUUGUGAUAUAUCUUUAUGUAUUCUGAAUAAAGUCCUUCGUCAGAUCUACAUAUUACGAAUAACUCCUCUCACUUCGUGGCUUGCUUUUUAAUGUUCAUAAUGUUGUCUUACAAAGAGAAAAAGGUUUUCAUUUGAUAAAAUACAAUUUUUUUAUUUUUAAAAUUUAUGAUUUUGUGUUUUCUGUGUUCUGUGUAAAA